rnacentral:lncRNA from 1 species
CAAGGAGACCAUGAGUGCAGCAGGUAGCAGGAGGGAAAAGUCACGUUGGAAUCUCCCUGAGAGCUCAGAGACCCUGCCAGAUGCAGAAAGCUUCCUUCAUGGCAGCACAAAUAGUUUCCAUUUCCCAGUCAAGAGCCAGCAUCCAAGACGAGCUUCUGAUUUGACACUGAAUGAAACAAAAGAUGGCCCAGAACUCAAUGGAAGCCAGGAAAUGGAGGCGCAAUUGCCAGAAAAUCUCUGCAACAUCCCAGAAAUCCCCAUGGGCAGAGAAGGCAGUUAAAGGUCUAAAAAAAAAUGACUUAAUCCUUCUUGAAGUCUCUCAGCACCAAGCAGGCAAUAACCGUGUCCCAUUCAUCUUUGGGUUUCUCCAGUCUUUGGGACACAAAGGUCAGAGCUCACCCACUCUGGCCAACAGAGCUGCAGAAGCAAAGACUGAAUCAAAAGGAUGUGCAAUGGGAUGAAGUUUGACUUUCUUCUCUGAAGAAGAAAAACAGUAUUUUACAAACAAGGUGGAAACAUUGGGAACCCUCCAGGAUUCUUAGCUGUGAACUUCUGGAAA